UUCCUCAAAAGUGUCAAAUCAAAGACUCCAUAAUUAUUAUAUAUUUUCUGUCCAUGUCAUAUUAUACUGACUUCAGGGGCAAGUGGUGGGUGGGGUUAAUCUGAGUAAAGUCAGUGAAAUGAACAAAAGAUUUCUGUUCAUGGCAAGUGUUACUUACAGCAUUCACUAUCUCAGUAAGAAAACAAAACCUUCUGGGGUAAGGCAACAUCUUCGUGUCCUUAGAGCAGUGGAAGCAUGUCAUACACCGAGGCUACUAAAGAUUAUUAAAGUCUUGACCAAAGUAAUUAGUCGAAUUCGGAGAUGGUGUAGUUAUGCAUAACAGUCAGAUAUUAAUAGGUUAUUCUAAUAGCACUGCUCUACUUUCUCAAGAAAUUCUCCAUAUCCAUUGCCUGUUCUCACCAUGAGUCACAGAUACUCCCUAUUGGCUCAGGACCAGUCAGCACUGAUUUUGUCUCUACAGUAGCUUUCAAACUAUGGCUAUCAAUCACCAGCACCUUUUACAGCCAGCCAAACAGCUAGCAACAUACACAAUACAGUCUCCUUUAUGUUGCUUCCAGAUGCUGUAAUAUAUUUCAUUAAAGUGUUUGUUUUUUUUCUCUCUGAUAUUAUUUUAAAAUAGUCAAUAACAGUGAUCUUUACCCUGGGGAAGAUAAGCACUUGUGAAGAGGAAGGAGGGCUUCAUAUGGUCUUGAUGCAUUUUGGGGUACUUGGAAUGGGUGCUGAUGAGGUUGACAGCUGAUGGGAAUUAUUCUUCUCUGCAAACACUGAAUGGGAAUUGUUUUUCUGUUUGUUUUAUUGUUGUUGUUUUAAUAGGUUCGUCAGAGGAUUCUAAAAACUUACCACAGAAUAUCCGUGCCCAGAAACCCAUUUCUAAAUGCAUCUCCAUCAGGACAAAUAAAAAGUACAUCUGGGAACAGAAACCCUGUUGGACAGGUUGUCUUUGAUAGCACAGAAGAGACAAAACCCUGACACAGGAAGACACCACAGAGAAAUUUGAACACAAUGUCUAUAUCUGCAUCACCAUCUUACCUUCAUAGAAACUGAGGAGGUAAAGCUGAAUUGAACUUCAUGAGGUUCUCUACUUCACUGCUUAAUCACAGCAAGAUCAACCAUUUCUGAGCCCUUUUGGCAGCUGCUGACCUACUCCGUUGUCAAAAACUUCCAGGGAUGGAUAUUCCAACAUAAAGUCAUAGAAUCAUAGAAUUAGCUAGGUUGGAAAAGACCUACAAGAUCAUCCAGUCCAACCGUCUACCUACCACCAAUAACCCCACUGAACCAUGUCUCUCAACGCUAUAUCUAAAUGUUUCUUGAACACCUCCAGGGACAGUGACUCCACCACCUCCCUGGGCAGCCCAUUCCAGCACCUGACCACUCUUUCAGAAAAGCAGAAUUUCCUAAUGUCCAGCCUAAAUCUCCCCUGGUGCAACUUGAGGCCAUUCCCCCUCGUCCUGUCACUAGUUACAAGAGAGAAGAGGCUGACCCC
rnacentral:lncRNA from 1 species